ensembl:ncRNA T22C1.17 ncRNA
GCAGCAGACGACAAUCGAUUCGUGUCCCUCUCUGGUGAACUGUUUGUUGACACAGUACUCAGUCUUCUUCUUUCCA